rnacentral:rRNA from 1 species
CAGUAGCCGCGGGAAUACGAAGGGGGCUAGCGUUGCUCGGAAUCACUGGGCGUAAAGGGCUCGCAGGCGGUUUCUUAAGUCUGAUGUGAAAGCCCCCGGCUCAACCGGGGAGGGUCAUUGGAGACUGGGAAACUUGAGUGCAGAAGAGGAGAGUGGAAUUCCACGUGUAGCGGUGAAAUGCGUAGAGAUGUGGAGGAACACCAGUGGCGAAGGCGACUCUCUGGUCUGUGACUGACGCUGAGGAGCGAAAGCGUGGGGAGCGAACAGGAUUAGAUACCCCUGUAGUCCCUGUCUCUUAUAC